UACGUAGGGUGCGAGCGUUGUCCGGAAUUGUUGGGCGUAAAGGGCUCGUAGGCGGUUUGUCACGUCGGGAGUGAAAACUCAGGGCUUAACCCUGAGCCUGCUUCCGAUACGGGCAGACUAGAGGUAUGCAGGGGAGAAUGGAAUUCCUGGUGUAGCGGUGAAAUGCGCAGAUAUCAGGAGGAACACCGGUGGCGAAGGCGGUUCUCUGGGCAUUACCUGACGCUGAGGAGCGAAAGUGUGGGGAGCGAACAGG
rnacentral:rRNA from 1 species